UCUCAGCUCCUCAACUGCCACUCACUUCUUUUGAUCCUCAUCUCAGCAUUCCAGAUCUCCCUGCUCCCAUCCUUACAUCAUGGAUCAAAGAUGUUCUUGGGCUUUCAGAGGCUAUGACCAACCCACAUUCUAGGAGGCACUUCUGUAGAGGCAAAAGCUUUCUGCACUGGUCCAACAAUAGACUUUAUAUGCAUGUCAAUUGUUCAAGAAGUAUUCUGGGUUCCACAUUUCCAUAUGCCUCUGUUUCAAGCUGUCUUAUCAUGAAUGCCACAUUGGCUUUCCCAACUGUUUCCCAGAGAGUACUACCAGCUAACUCAAAUUUGAUCAAAUGCCCACACCCCAAAUGGACAUUCUUCAUUGUGACAAUGUAUAGAAACACUUCACAGAGCAACUUUUGA
rnacentral:lncRNA from 1 species